CGGCUGGGGGGAGGAAGACGUGCUGGUCCCCAGACAGCAGCCCUGGGUGACCCGGGCAACCCUCUCCUGUGCCCCGGAGGCUGGGGUAAACUAAAGUGAAGCUAGAGUGACGUCCCAAGGCCGGUGGGUGGACACCGCAGGUGGCAACGAUAUUUCUUGUAGCCCUCCCAUCCUGGGCCGGCAAGACAGAGCCAAAUCCUAGUGAAGACCUGCUUUCCCCCGUUUUUCCUACUUAAAACGGGCCGAAAGUCCAUUUUAAAAUACUGUCUUCGUUUUCAUUCUAACCUGUCCCCAGGUCUUAUUAGGGCCACGAGAGGGCACAGUGCUGCUCGAAGUGUGGACCACGGACCAGUGCCAACUCAAGAUCGGUUUAACAGCAUGUACGAGCUAAGUACAGAAAUGGACAGGAAGUGGAGUGGUCACAGCGGCCAACAGUGUGGUCUGUGGGCUCCCAUUUGUGGUUAAAAGCUCUCCUGAAUGCUCAGCUGAAGCCCAUCCCAAACGUGCAGACGCAGGAUGCCACAGAACACUUAGGGUCUUCAGUGCCUCGCCAGACGUGUCUUCUCUAGCAGCUGCCACUCCCCCUGUCCACACUGCUCAGGAAGGGGCCUGAAGACCAGGAAAGGGACUCCUAGCCAAAGCGACCAGCUCAAUCAAUCAAGUCUACACUGGCCCAAAGGGAGCAUCUCCAUCUACACUAGGCCAGGGGGAGUGAGUCUCCUUCUACAAUGGCUCAAGGAAAAUGAGUCCCUGUCUACACUGGCGAAAGCGGUGACAGGGAUGGAACCCAGUGCCCCGUGCAUGCUAGGCAAGCGCUCUACCGCUGAGGCACAGCUCCAGACGCUGUAACAUCAAUUUUAUUAUACAAUUUGUGAGAAACAGAAAUGUAUUAAGAACCAUUUCUACUCUCCCAGAAACAAGGGAGAAAGGACAGAGGAGAGCAGGACAGGGGAAGUGUCCCAGGGAAAGGAGUGUCUGAUGUCUCUUGCAGGAGGGGGCGGAGGAGACUCCUGGUGGAUCCAAAUGCGCUCCCGGCUAGAAUCUGUGCGGAGAAGCCCGAGCCCGUGGGCACGACCUGGCUCCUGCAGCUGUUUGAGGCCCUGCCCGAGCGAUACCCGUGCCAUGAUGUCAGGAUCCACAGAGCUCAGAAUCUUCUGGAUGCCCACUGGUGUUGUCGGCCUCAGCCCUGCGUUUUCAUUGGAACCACUUCUUUUUCUGAAUGCCGGCCUGCAAAAAGCAUGGCACGAGACACCACAGUUGUUGAAUGGAUGUGGCAGUCCUCCUGGAGACUCCUUUCCAGUCCUUGCUGUUGUCAUGGGAUUGCCCUGUGGAGGUACCUUGGGAGGCUGUGCCGCCUUCUGCUGUGACUCACCUACUGAGGAUGGUCCUGGGGGACACAGGGUCCCACUGGGAGGAGGGGUCCUCGCACACAGGAAGCAGAGAUGAAUGGUAGGCAAGCUGGCACUUCCACCGCCCUUCUGCCCUGGGCUUCCCCAGUAGCUGGGCUCACAGGGCAAGGGGAGGUGGGGAGGGCUGGUCCACUGGUACUCUUCUUUGGGCAGGCAUUGGAAAGGUCCACGGGGCCUGGCCUGAUCCCCCGACUCACUUCAUCUGGAACUUGCAGCCGGCUCCCCGGGUUGUCUGGCGCUGGAGUAUCAGAUACAUAGCUAUCACCUUUUCCUAUUUUCUAUUUGCCAGGGAAACUCAGGUCGUAACUGAAACCCAGGUCAAGCAUGAUUUCACAAUUACGGGGUCUGAGUGUUUGGGGAGUGGCUCUCUAGAAUGAUUGGGUGAAUAUUCCUCACCCAGGUGCCCCAGUAUCUGCUCUACUGCGGGCCUCUGUGUGGAGUCCACCAUUAGCGUUUGAUUGACGAGGUUCUGUGUGUCUCGGAAAUGUGUGGGGGAAGGUAGUAUCUGGACUGCACCAUCUGCUCCUUUAGCUGCUUGGCAGUGGCCGCCACAAAUGGGCGUCCCCCUGUGACCAUAAAAUGUAGAACGACAUCCAAGCUCCAGAUGCCCAUGGGUGGGGGUGGCUGCCCUCAUAUUCAUUCCAGUGGAUGACUUCGGGGGCAACGUACAGGAGAGCGCCCCAGAUCUCGUUCAGCUUCUGCCCCACCGCGAACCUGGUGCUCAGGCCAAAGUUGAUGAGUUUGAUGUUGCCUCUGGCGUCUACCAGGAUGACCUUGCUUUCAGGUCUAGGUUCGUGAUUCCCUUCUUGUGGCCGUAGCACAGGACACAAUCUGCCCCAACAGUCUCCAGGCCUCCUCUUCUUUCUCCAUGCCACUGGGCUUUGGGAUGGGGUGCUGUCGCUGUCCCCCACCUGCAUACUCCAUGACGAUGUAGAUAUUUUCAAUGGUCUCAAUGCCCUGAAAGAGCUGGAUCACAUAUUGGUGUUCCGUGGCCAUCAUCGUAUCCAGUUCAGAUAGGACGGGGAUGUUCCGCUCCACAGGACUUUCACCACCACCUCUGUCCCGGGGAGGAGACAGCAGGCUAAUUCAGUCGGGGCGAAACCACCCUGCCAGGUGAUCCUCAGGACCCGACGAUGGUCCGUGUAGGUGGUCUCCUUGCGGGAGCGGGUGCCUACAGCUACAUUACUCUGACUACUCUUACUGCAUAUCCUCAGCUAAGGAUGCUAGCUUAAAAAAAAAAAUAACAAAACCCAGAACCAAGCAAAAUAAAAACCCCAAAUCAAAAAACCAACAUCCAAAGACCACAACCACCAACCACUAAACGCGCUAACUAUCUAAGAGUCUGACAGGUGGCCACCAAAUGCUUCCUGCACUGAGGGACAAAAACCCAGCCGCAGCCAGCCUCUGCUGUACUCCAGUGUUUGAGUUGCCCUCAACGGCUCCUUGUGAGGUCAGAGCAAGAAAUGGCCCAUUCACGCCUGGGGAUCACCCCCGUGGUCCACUCCCUCUUGGGCUUCCAAAACCUUUUCCACUUUCAUAAUAAGAAAGGGCUCCAGACGCUUUUGGGUUCAGUGGGUUAUGGAGGCUGACAUUGACUUGUUUAGAAAUUAAAAUUUGUACAAUACUUAAAAAUGUGCAGGACUCAUUUGUCCCAACCAAGGGGACCUUGCCACUGCCACCCAGGACUGAGAAUGAGGAGGAAAAGGGACACAGGGAGGACCCAGGAAAGAGAUGAAGCCAGAGGACCCCCCAUUCUCAUCCAGUGGCCUUCCCGUCAUGGGUGACAGGCUCCCGUCUGUGGGUGCUAACGGCAGUGACAGUCAAACUUCCUGUCUUCCACCUUCCCAUCACCUGCUCUGUGGCCUUGCUUUGCUUUUGCAGUAUUGGGGACAAACCUACAGCGUCACAGGUUCCAGGCAAGUGUCCUUACCCCAAGUUACAUUCCCAGCCCAGUGACACCUGCUUCAGGACACACUCCAGCCUCUUCUGCCCUUUCAUAGCUGUCGGGAGUCGGGGGCUACUCAGGAAGUGGGGUUCCCCCUCCUGUACCCCUGCUUGCCUCAGAGGCACUGGGCAGCACAGCCCAGGGAGUCCGUGCCUGGUUGGUUCAAGAGAAGACUCCGGGACCGAGAAGGUCCAGAAGCUGCGCUGUGGGCAUUCUGGGGCCUACCUGGGACUCUUCACGUUGUCUCCAACAGCUAGAGGGGCUGGGUUCCUGUCCUUCCAACCCACACCAUUAGCUGUCAUAAGGGGGCAUACUCAGUUAAGUGACACUUGGGACCCCUCUAAGUUGCUACCAUGUCAAAGGAACCACCUGAGAAUCAGCCUCCUCUUGGCACACUGGCCAUGUGACCCCUUCAGCCCCAGCCGUGGACGCCCCCAGCCCUCCACAGCUCUGGUUGCUAUGGGGCCUGGCCUUCCCCUCCCCCCUUCUCCUGUCCCCUCCAGUGUCACACAGUCUGCAGGAGCUGAUAACAUGCUCUGUGGACAGCAACCUAUCAUUCUUCUGCACUUACAGUUCCAAGGACUAUGCUUGCCACAAAAUACCCAUUCACUGCUCUGCCACACAUGUACUGAUUCAUCAGCCUGACUGUAGGUCACACUUCAUUUGUUUUUAGUGGUAGAUGGACAUAAUACUUUUAUUUUUAUGUGGUGCUGAGAAUCCAACCCAGUGCCUCACACAUGCCAGGCAAGCGCUCUGCCACUGAGCCACAACCGCAGCCUCAAGGCUACUCUUUAAAUACCCAUGUCAGCAGCAUUUAUUUUAGUUUCUUUGUGAUUUUAUUUGCAAUGUUUUCACUUCUGUGUCAAUGAAUGUAUU